GACGAACGCUGGCGGCGUGCUUAACACAUGCAAGUCGAACGAUGAAGCUGGAGCUUGCUCCGGAGGAUUAGUGGCGAACGGGUGAGUAACACGUGAGCAAUCUGCCCUUGACUCUGGGAUAACUGCGGGAAACUGUAGCUAAUACCGGAUACGAGGCUCGAAGGCAUCUUCGGGUCUGGAAAGAAUUUCGGUCAAGGAUGAGCUCGCGGCCUAUCAGCUUGUUGGUGAGGUAAUGGCUCACCAAGGCGACGACGGGUAGCCGGCCUGAGAGGGGGACCGGCCACACUGGGACUGAGACACGGCCCAGACUCCUACGGGAGGCAGCAGUGGGGAAUAUUGCACAAUGGGCGAAAGCCUGAUGCAGCAACGCCGCGUGAGGGAUGAAGGCCUUCGGGUUGUAAACCUCUUUUAGCAGGGAAGAAGCGAAAGUGACGGUACCUGCAGAAAAAGCACCGGCUAACUACGUGCCAGCCGCCGCGGUAA
rnacentral:rRNA from 1 species